rnacentral:rRNA from 1 species
GAUGAACGCUAGCGGCAGGCCUAAUACAUGCAAGUCGAACGGGAUUGCAGUGUAGUUUGCUACACUGCAUGAGAGUGGCGCACGGGUGCGUAACGCGUGAGCAACCUACCAUAUCAGGGGGAUAGCCCGGAGAAAUCCGGAUUAACACCGCAUGUUACAGUAUUACCGCAUGGUAUAGCUGUUAAAUAUUUAUAGGAUAUGGAUGGGCUCGCGUGACAUUAGCUAGUUGGUGGGGUAACGGCCCACCAAGGCGACGAUGUCGAGGGGCUCUGAGAGGAGAAUCCCCCACACUGGUACUGAGGCACGGACCAGACUCCUACGGGAGGCAGCAGUAAGGAAUAUUGGUCAAUGGGCGGAAGCCUGAACCAGCCAUGCCGCGUGCAGGACGACUGCCCUAUGGGUUGUAAACUGCUUUUGUACGGGAAUAACCCUCUCUACGUGUAGAGAGCUGAACGUACCGUAAGAAUAAGGAUCGGCUAACUCCGUGCCAGCCGCCGCAGUAA